rnacentral:sRNA from 1 species
CAAAGAUCGAACGAGCGAGGAACGAGGAAAAGAUCGAAAACACUGACGGAUCAUACCAUUAGUUGCCGCACCGACGGUUGUGUGGAACGUCAGUCGAUGGUAUGAUCAAACAAAAAGAUCGUCCUCAACGUGUGCCUGACCUUCUUUCCCACAACAUCCGAGUCACAAUAAUCAAGGUGGUACUCAAGAUGUAACCAGACCUUUCAGUAUAAUAUGAGCUACCUUGACGAGGUAAGAUGGCAGUAAUAGAAAAGGCGACAGGUUUUUUUUCUGCGUUACUCAUUGAUAGCUCAGUUUUUCGACCUUUCUUUUUCUCCCACAUGUCCUUCUCCGCUAUUGGUACAUUGCUUUCUCCUUACGAUCAGAUGAAUCCGGCUUUCAUCGGUCAUUGAUGUACAAUUGUAAGCUGUAUACACUCGAAAGCAAAAGGCACACAUGAUCAAGAU